rnacentral:piRNA from 1 species
UGUCAGUUGAUGGACAUUGGGUUGUUUCC